CAACUGCGUGGUGCAUGUCGUAAUGUACACCUAUUACCUGUUGUGCACCCUGGGGAUGCACCCUAAGUGGAAGAAAAUGGUGACGGAUUUUCAACUAGUGCAGUUCUGGUUAAGCUUUUUGAUCAUGGCCAUGCUUGUGUUCUACCACUUCACUGCUUCUGGCUGCUCUGGGAUUCUGAGUUGGUGUUUCAAUGCAGCCUUCAUCGUCUCUCUUCUCUACUUGUUCUCAGACUUUCAUGCCAAGAGUUACUCCACCAAUGCCAAGGUCUUCAAGGGUAACUAAUAAUUAAUUAAACUACCUUUUCUUUUCUUUUCUUUUCGUUUUCAUUUUUAUAUGUAGUUAUUGUUUCAGAGUGAUUCAUCAGUUGAAGAAAAAAAUGAACAUAAUUGUCAUAAAUUCCUUUUACGAUUUCAAUUCUUCGGUGUGCAUAUGUAUCUUAAUAUCAAUUAAUUGAAGAGAUUCAUUGUUAAUUUAUAUUUUAUGUUUUUACUAUAAAUGCAUGAUUAAACAGUUCCUGCUGUUGCAGAAGCGACGAUAAUAUUAAUAACAAUAUUAUCAGAAAUAUUUAGAUAAUUAUUAUGCCGACAAUUAUACUAAGAAAAUUCCCAGUUAAAUUGGAGGGGUCACAAAUGGUCCCGCUUAAAACCCAACAACUAGACAGAACUCACUUAGAUAUUUAUAGCAAUAAUAACUAAAUAAAUAUAACCAACAUAAAGCUAUUAAAUAUAAGCAAACAACUAAGAAAUAAAAUACCAGAGUUUUAACGAGGUUCGGCCAAUUUAACUUACGUCCUCGGACACUACCAAAUUAAUAUUUCCUCUAGAAAUAUUACAAUAGAGAAGAUUAACACCAAGUUACAAUUAGCUACUUGGAUUUUUGGAAUGAUAAAACCUAAGGGGGAAGGGUUCUAUAUAUAACAAACCAAACCCCCUCCCUUUCUAUCUUUUCCUAAUGUGGGAUAUUGCCAAUAUUCAACAAAUCUCCACCUUGGUGAUAUUCCACAUCUUCGAACAUCUUCUCAUAACACAAACUUCAAUAGUGUCUUCAAAUUUGCAACCAAUCGCCUUCUUCCCUUUUGGUAGUUGUGCCAGUUUCCACGUCUUGUUUUUCUCUAGAGAUUGCAUUUCCUCUUCCAUUGCACCUAACCAUCUAUUAUUCUCUAAAUUUUGAAUGGCUUCGGUGUAAGUGGAUGGAAUAUUAUCAACAACUGGAAGUGCAUAAGCUACCAUGUCAGUGAAACGAGCAGGUUUCUGAAUUUCUCGUCUCUGCCUUCUGACUGCAAUUGGCUCUGAUUGCUGUUGAGGUUCUUGGGUAGAAACCUCUUCCUCAUCUGACUCUGCAUCUGCCAAUGAAGAAUCACUAGUGGUACCUUCUGCUGGAAUUACCACUCUCUGCUCAAACUCCACCUGCUGCGGAGUACACUUCACCUGCUGCGAAGUACUACUCGAAGUACUACUCACUCCUUCUGGAUUUACCUUAUUCAACAUGGCAGAUUCAUCAAAGGUAACAUCCCUACUGAUUAUCGUCUUCUUUGCCUCUAGACACCACAAACGAUACCCCUUAACACCAGCAUUGAAGCCCAUGAAUAGAGCCUUCUUUGCUCUUGGAUCUAACUUUGAUUCUUUCACAUGAUAAUAUGCAAUAGAACCAAAAAUACGCAAGGUGUCAUAAUCAGUAGCAGGUUUUCCAUACCAUUUCUCCAAAGGAGUCUUGCCAUUUAUAGCAGAUGAUGGCAAAUGAUUGAUGAGAUGUUGAGCGUACGUCACAGCCUCAGCCCAAAACUUUCUAUCUAAUCCAGCAUUAGAUAACAUACAUCGAACUUUCUCCACAAGCGUUCGAUUCAUACGCUCUGCCACCCCAUUCUGUUGCGGUGUUCCACCUACGGUGAAGUGCCUUACUAUGCCACAAUCUUGGCAUAUCUUCAGGAAUGGAUCGCUUUUAUAUUCUCCACCAUUGUCUGAUCGGAGAACCUUAAUCUUCCUUCCUGUCUGAUUUUCAAUUUUAGUUUUCCACUUAAGGAAAACUUCAAGCACCUCAUCUUUGUUCUUCAUAGGAAACACCCAAACUCGUCUGGAAAAAUCAUCAAUAAAGGUGACAAAAUAACGUCUUCCUCCAAGUGAUGGAGUCUUGGACGGUCCCCAUACAUCAAAAUGCACAUAAUCCAGAAUACCUUUAGUAUUGUGAAUCCCAGUGCCAAAUUUCACCCUUCGUUGUUUUCCCAGAACACAAUGCUCGCAAAAUUCAAGUUUGCAAGUCUUUGUACCUUUCAAUAAUCCUUGCUUGGCUAGAGUUUGCAAGGAUUUUUCACCAGCAUGGCCCAAACGCAUAUGCCACAGCUGUGUUGCCUCAGCGUCCUUCUUGGUACUCGAAAUUGCUGCUGCUGUUGCCCCGACCACUGUACUACCUUGGUAGUAAUACAGAUUGUUCUUUCUUAUGCCUUUCAACAUCACCAAUGCUCCUGAAGUUGCUUUAAGAACUCCAUCUCGUAUUGUCACAACUAGGCCUUUAGAUUCUAACGACCCCAAAGAGAUGAGAUUCUUCUUCAACUUUGGGACAUAUCGUACAUCCCGCAAAAUUCUAGUAGAUCCAUCAUGACUCCUCAGUUUAAUUGAACCUAUCCCGGCUAUUUUACAUGUGUUAUCAUUACCCAUGUAAACAACCCCUCCAUCUAGUUUUUGAAAUUCAAAGAACCAUUCCCAAAUGGGACACAUAUGAUAGGAACAACCAGAAUCCAUGAUCCACUCAUCUGCAUGUGAUGUUGAAGAUGUCAUACUAAGAGAAAAGUCUGACUCUGCUUCACUAUUGCAUUCUGCAACAUUUGCAUCUUGCGGAGUCUUCCAUUUUUUCUUCAAUUUUGGACAAUCUUUCUUCCAAUGUCCUUUUUCUUUGCAAAAGGAACAUUCAUCUUUGGCAACAGCUCGACCUUUGGACUUUCUUCUCUUCCUCUUAGACUGACUUUCCUGACGAUCUCUUGUUAACAAUGCUUCCACUGCUGCUUCACUUGAACCUUUCAACUUAUCCUUUCGGCGUAGUUCAUAGCUAUACAAUGCAGCAGUUACUUCAUUGAAAGUUACUUCCGACUUUCUAUGAAGUAAAGUAGUUUCAAGGUACUCAAACUCCUUUGGAAGCGAUCCCAACAACAUAAACGCCAAGUCUUCGUCUUCAAAAGUCACAUCCAAAUUCAACAAAUCAACCACCAGCUGAUUAAAAUUGGUAAUGUGCUCAUUCAUCGUGGUACCAGGAACAUAACUGAAACGAAACAGUCUUUUCUUCAUAUGCAACUUAUUUUGACUGUUCUUCUUCAGGAAUUUCUCCUCCAAUGCUUUCUACAAUUUACUUGCAGAAGUCUCUUUACUGAAUAUAUACUUCUGCUCUCUGGAAAGACAUGAUCGAAUUGUACCACAUGCCAAUCGGUUGAUGGUCUUCCAUUCUUUAUCAUCAACCCCUUCUGGUUUUUCUUCCUCAAUGGCAAUAUCUAGACCUUGUUGAAAGAAGGCAUCUAGAAGCUCACUUUGCCACAUGCCGAAAUGACCUAUUCCAUCAAAAAUUUCCACUGCAAAUCUCGUAUUUGCAAUUCCAACCCUCGACAAAAUGUACGAAGUGGAAGUUGUUGAUAUGGAUGGUUUUUCUUCUGUCAUUUUUGCCAUAGCUUCUAUUUAAUAGCCACCAAAUGCGGAAUACCCACAAGCUUUAGGAAAUGUUUCUGAUGUGUAAGAUCAGACUAAGCUGCAAACACAGAGCAUACUACAAAACCUUGGCUCGGAUACCAAUUGUUGCAGAAGCGACGAUAAUAUUAAUAACAAUAUUAUCAAAAAUAUUUAGAUAAUUAUUAUGCCGACAAUUAUACUAAGAAAAUUCCCAGUUAAAUUGGAGGGGUCACAAAUGGUCCCGCUUAAAACCCAACAACUAGACAGAACUCACUUAGAUAUUUAUAGCAAUAAUAACUAAAUAAAUAUAACCAACAUAAAGCUAUUAAAUAUAAGCAAACAACUAAGAAAUAAAAUACCAGAGUUUUAACGAGGUUCGGCCAAUUUAGCUUACGUCCUCGGACACUACCAAAUUAAUAUUUCAUCUAGAAAUAUUACAAUAGAGAAGAUCAACACCAAGUUACAAUUAGCUACUUGGAUUUUUGGGAUGAUAAAACCUAAGGGGGAAGGGUUCUAUAUAUAACAAACCAAACCCCCUCCCUUUCUAUCUUUUCCUAAUGUAGGAUAUUGCCAAUAUUCAACACCUGCUGCAUGCAAUUGUAUUAUAUUAUCGUUUCUAAUGACGAAGAAAAUGGAACAACCGUGAAGUGAAAAAAAAAAAGUUGAUGAGAAAAAUAAAUCAAGGCGGACAUAGAAAUUGUUGUCGCAGUCAACAUUAAAUAUGGUAAGCAGGUGAGUUAAUAAGUUUGACAGGUCCUCACCAAAAAUUAACUUCUCCCUUUUAUCGUCAUAUGUAUUAUUUAAGAUAUUGCAUGCUUUUGUCGUUUUCAUUACACCAAUAUUUUAUGUCUAGUAAGUUUUGGAACAACACCUCAUGAUUCAUCCAUUAAAUUCCAAUUUAGCGUUAUAUAAGUUUUUUUUUCUUAGAGAAUAUUAAGAAAAUCCAGUGUCAUAUAUACACAACAUGAAAUAAAUUUGGUAAUAAAAAAAAUUUGAGAGUAGGGCACCAAAUUAUAGUCCAGUAUUUCAAAUUAAUUUGGUUAUAAGGUCAACAAUCAAUUAUGCAAAUGAUGUAAACCUAAGACACUACUUUAUCACAUGUAUUGUUUCUACUGAUUAGUUUUAAUCAAUUGAAGUUAAUUGGAAAUAAAAUAAAGUAAUUGAUUAUGAAAUUGAUAGAGAUAACAGGUCAACCAAAUGAAUUAUUUUUCCUAUAUUAAAUUAUAAAACAUUCAAAAUGUAGUUAUGACACACGAAUAAGAUUUAUAUAAAAUAUAUAUAUUUAUUAAAAUUUUAUAUGAAAAUCAAAUCAAAUGAAAUUGAAGUUUUUAAAAUUAUAAUGUUUAUGGUGAAUUCAAGUAACAUCUAAAACAAUCAUUAAAAAAAUUGGAGAUUAAUAAGUUAGAAUUGUUUGGAGAGAUCUUACUCAAAAUAAAAAUUACUUUGACGAAAAUCAUAUUAUUAUAUUUUUUAAUAUGAAAGCUUCAAUCUUAUCAGAUUUAUAAUUUUACUUUAUAUUAUUUUUAAUUCAUAUUGUAAUUAUAAUUUAUAAUGAUAAUUAUUUAUUAUUUAUUAUUAUUUUAAAAUUUCAUAACCUUCGUUACUUACGGUUUGUUUAAGGUUACACACAAAAUUAAUGAAAAAUUAUAACCUCUGCUGCUUGAGGUUUGCUUAAGGUUGUUCACAAAAUUAAUGAAAAAAUUAUAACCUUCAUCACUUAUGACUUGUGUUAUAAAAGGUAAAAAAAUCAAGACAAAUCAAUUCAUCGUGUUUUUCUUCAUCAAAUCUGAUAGACGACUUCAAUUAAACAUUAGAUAAAUCUCUAUUGAUUUUAGUUUGCAUAAUACGAAAAACUUCAAUUUUUAAAUUUGAUCCAAUUUGAAUUUAAAUUUUAUUUAAUAAAAUAUUUAUAUGAUUUUAAAUUAGAAAAUAUAUUUAAAAAGUAAAAAAAUACAGAUUUAAUAUUAAAAUUAAAAAUUAAUGUUUUAACUUAAUUAAAUUUAAAUAUUAAUAUUUAAUUUGGUAAUUUUAAUAUAUUAAAAUCCCAAAUAAUUCUAUCUAUUAAUGUACAAUUACAAAUUAAAUCAACUUUAUGCUCAAAAUAAUUUUUUUAAUAUAUAUAUGAAUUAUAAAAAUAGAAUUGUUCUAAGUUUUAUUCCAAAAUCAAAGUGUUAAAAUGGGAUGCAUUUCUUAUAUUAAUAUUUUAUUUUCAUAUUAAAAUAAUAAAAUGUAAAUUAAAAUGAGUUGAAAUUUAAUAAAUAUUAAAUUACACUUUCUAAUUAACUCCAAUUGCAUAUUGAUUGUCAUUAGGAUUAUCUAAUCACAUUAUUUUUAUAAUACAAAUAUGAGAAAAUAUUUAGUACAUCAGUGAAAUUUUUAACUUUCACAAGUAAAGUUAGAGAGUUUAACAAGUUAUAGGGAUAGAGUAAAAUAUUAAAAAAAAAGAGAGUCAUAUAACAAAAUUUUAAAGUUGUUUGUGAAAUAAAUAAAAAAAUACACUACCACUAUAACAAAUACUAACCUUGCAAAUAUAUUUACAAUAUAAAAUGUUUUAAAACAUUAAGAGUAAAUUAAAAUAAUAAUAAUAAUGUGCAACGCGUGUGGGGCUAAAAACUAAUAUAUAUAAAAUACAAAGUAAAAAAAUGGACUAAACUAGGUUUAAGUUUUGAGUAUUAGAGUUCAAGCUUGAUUCAUAUUUUAAAUGAGUCUAAUAUUUUUAUCUAAAACUAUUUUUAAACUUCAUAAUUUUAUUCAAAUCUAUUUAUUAUAUAAAAUCAAAUUCUUUUGGGAGUCAUUAGGAAUUAAUAAGGAUAAUUUUGGUAGUAAAAGUUAAAGACAAUUAUAUAUUUUGGAAAAAAUAAUUAUUUUAAAAUUUAAUAAAACUAACUCCCUUUUAGUAAUUAGGAAUUAAUAAGCACAAUUUAGACAUUAAAAGUUUAGAUAAUUGAAAUUUUUUAAUUACUUAUUUUAAAAUUUUUUAUUCCAUUUUAAUUAUUUGUAUUUAAAUUGUUCUUUUAAGUCCAAAUGAAAUUAUUUAUGCUUAAUUCAUUAAUCUUUUACCAAAAUUUUUUUUUAAAAAUUUUUAAUAAUUUAAUAAUUUAAUUUUAAUAUAAAAAAUCUAUAUUCCAAGAAUUUACAUACCAAAAUGUAUAUAAAAAAUUUAGAUAGUAAGUUGAUGUUUUUAAAGGAAAAGGUGAGUAAAAAAUAAAAUAUUUUUAAGAUUAUUCAAAAGAUAAUAUCUGCAGUAGUAUCAGUAUCAGUAUCAGUAUCUAUAUGUAUUAAUAUCAUAUUUACUUUUGUUUUCUUCUAAAUUUAAAUUGGUUAGUUUCUUUAGUUUUACUUAAUAUAUUAUUAUUAAAAAAUUUAAUAAAUUUUCAAUUGAACUUUAAUUUCAGCUACACAUUUUGUAUAUGGUAAUAUUUGUUAUUAAGAAUAUUUGAUAUAUUAAUUAGCUUUUCAGUUACAAGUUUUUUUUGUAUAAAUAUUGUUCCAUCUUAUUAUUUUAUCCUAAUUUUCGUUUGAUCGUAAUUUUAUCUUAAUUUUUAAUUUUUUUUUCUCUACUAAGAGGUUAGUUUUUUAAAUGGAUACACGUGUUUACAUGCUAUUUUUAAAUAAAUUAUUAGUUUUUUUUAUCUAUUUCUUUGUUUUUCAAUGUCAAGCUCGAGUCUAAAACUUUUUUAUUUUUAAAUUGAGAGUAUAAUUUUUUUUCUAGUCUUCGUCGUAUUCUAACAUAAAAAAUUAAAAAUCCAUUAAUAACACUAUUUACUAAUAUUAUACAAAUAUAUAUCCAAAAUAGAUUACAAGAUUUCCUUUUAUGUCCAUUUUUAAUAUUUUUUUAUAAUAAUUCCAUGCAAGGGAAAAAUCAGGAUUUUAUUGUUUGAAGUUUAGAUAAAGCAUUUCUCUUUUCAAUUUUCUUACUCUUUUUUGUUGCACGUGAAAAAGUUAUUGGUGCUACCGCCCAGCUUUGGAUAUCAUUCUAUAUUUAAAUUGGGUAUAUUUCAUUUAUAUGAUUUGACAUGUUGAUGGCAUAUUUUAUAAAAUCAUAACAAUUUUCCAUAUAAGGUAAAAUUGUAUUUUAGAUAUCUAUUAUUGAUAGUAGUAAUUAAUUUUUUUGCUGGUAUUUUUUAAAGAGAUAAACGAUUAAUCAUGAAAUAUGCUCUAUUCUUAAUAAAGAGGCAAUGGAAGAAGAUUGUAUUUGAGUUGUUCGAUUAAAAAUUUUCAAAAUUGACUUGGAAAGAAGAAGUCAAAUAGAUUUAAAAAUAAUAAUAAAGAAAAAAAAUACAGAAACAACUAAAAGAAAAAAAUUAAGAACAAAGAAUAAAGAUUUAAAACAAUAAAUAAAUAAAACGAAAAUUAAAAAGUGGUUUAAAAAAUCGAUUGAUAUAAUAGCUAGAUGAAUAAGUGUCCAAUUGAACCAUUUGAGACAAAAAUCACAACAAAUUCAAUUAAUAACUCUAAUGGAACUCUAAUUAAUCUAAAUAAAAAAAAAUUAUAUGAUAAAGCAAGUUCUGAUGAAAAAUUCCUAUUACAUAGUGAGAUGACAAGUAAUGGAUUUUGAUAACAAUUUUUAUUAAAGUGGGAAGUGAUAAUGUAGUGAAUUAAUUUGGUAAAAGUUUUGUUCUUGUCAAGCCAUGAAAAGAUAAAAGUAAUAAAUUAUGGUAAUAAUGAAUCAUAUAAAUAUGGAAUUAUCUGUUAAUUAUUAAAAUAUGCUUUAUUAAGAUAUGUUCAAGAAUUAUAAUAGUAGUAAUUUUUUAUAUAUAGAGUUUAAGGUAAAAAAAAAGAGAUUAUUCCUGGGUACUUACUAAGCUUUUACAAGUGUAACGUGUGUUUUAAACACGUAGAUGGAAGAUCGAAUUAAAGCUCUAGAUUCAGGUUGAGAUUUCAACUCAUCUCAUCUCAUAACCAAGGUUUGAAGAGAGUACAAAUUUGAUAUUUUGGUUAUAGAAUAUGACAUGUACACAAGUUAUUGCCAGUGUUUUGAUAUUUUGAGUUUUAUAAUGAUUAGUUGACGUGAAAUAGUCGAAGUUGCUUCGGCAAUUAAUGUAACAUCUCAGUACUUUGACCCGAUGUUUGGGUCGGAUAUGAGGGUGUUACAUUGUUGGUAACUAUUUUGUAACUUUUCAUAAUUAGGUGACAAAAAAUUUCACUAAUAGUUAGAUAUUAAUUUUAUAAUUUUUCAUACUUGGGUGAACAAAAAGAAUUUACUAAUAGUUGAAGAAUUUACUAAUAGUUCAGUGAGUAAUAGUUUGAUUUACCCAAAAAUCUAUGUACUUACAAGUUACAAGAGGGGUAGGCUAAUUACCCCCUAUCCAUAAAUGAAUUCAUUACUGGCGGACCAUUAUCCAUAAAUGAAUAAACAUAAACAGGAAUGCAGUGGAAGUGGAUGGAUCAAUGAUAUCCAGUACCGGUAGGCAGUUGAGGUAGAGAAAAUAUUGGGUCAUACUUUUCAGUGCUUUUAAAGGCAAUCCCCCUCCCCUCCUCCUUUUUGCUGCAGCUUUAUUAACUGACGUAGUGCUAGAGUAGUAAAGGCAGCAGCAAGAUGGAAGUCCCCUUUUUCCCAACCCUUUUCUCCUGUAUCAAAGGCUUGGUGGUGCAACAAGCCUUGUUCUCAACCUUGGAGGAUUGGCUAGUGAAGCAUCCCAAAAUCCUCCAGUUUUCAUGGGAAAAUGGCCAAACACCAGCCUCCUCUCACCGCUUCCUCACCCUCACUGUCUUGUCUUACAUCUCUUUCACCUUCGUUCUCUCCCAACUAUCUCGCCCUUCACUUUCACGUCCACUCCUCAAAUCAAUCGCAGCCGUCCACAACAUCUUCCUCCUUACCCUUUCUUUCAUCAUGGCCCUGGGUUGCCUCGUUUCCAUCUUCUCCCAGGUGCCUAACUUCAACACCCUCGUUUGCUUCCCUAGGGGUACAUCCCCAUCGGGCCCUCUCUUUUUCUGGGCAUACAUCUUCUACCUCUCCAAGAUUGUUGAAUUCAUGGACACCCUUUUGAUCAUCCUCAGCGGAUCCAUGAAGAGGCUAUCCUUCCUUCACGUCUACCAUCACUCCAUGGUGGUCAUCAUGUGUUAUAUUUGCUUAGACAGUGCUCAGUCCUCCGUACCCAUGGUGCUGAUCACCAACUGCGUGGUGCAUGUCGUAAUGUACUCCUAUUACCUGUUGUGCACCCUGGGGAUGCACCCCAAGUGGAAGAAAAUGGUGACGGAUUUUCAACUGGUGCAGUUCCGGUUAAGCUUUUUGAUCAUGGCCAUGCUUGUGUUCUACCACUUCACUGCUUCUGGCUGCUCUGGGAUUCUGAGUUGGUGUUUCAAUGGAGCCUUCAACGUCUCUCUUCUCUACUUGUUCUCAGACUUUCAUGCCAAGAGUUACUCCACCAAUGCCAAGGUCUUCAAGGGUAACUAAUAAUUAAUUAAACCAACUUUUUUUUGUUUUUCCAUUUCGUUUCCAUUGUUACAUGUAGUAAUUGUUUCAGAGUGAUUCCGUUCAAGCUCAUGAAUCUGGUAUAGAAUCUUAAUUGUGAAAG
rnacentral:lncRNA from 1 species